ensembl:lncRNA
UUAGAUUUCUUGGUGCAUACUUCUCUACAGUUUAGUGGGAAAUGUUCCUCUUUGCCGACUGAUUUUACGGUGGAUGUAGAGGGAAGCCAAGAAGAGCCAGUUCCUCUAAGCACCACUAGGUGUCAGCAUUGUCAAGCCAGUCCCUGGCCGGGCUGCUCCUUACAAAGGGAGGGGGCGAGGAGUGGGGAUUUGAAUCCAAAACCCAAUCCGCGUCCAUUGCUAGGGGCUGAGCUUUGCAGAUGUUCUUAACACAGGUGCCUUGAACAUUUAGGAGCCUGGGUUAAGGAAGGGCUGGUGGCCAUCAGGGCUGUAGUCCCAAGGGGACUUGUCUCCUGGAACCCUAUUCCUCACCACUGCCAUGGAGCCCUAGGGCUCCCUAGGGCCCCCGCCUACAGUGAACACAGGACACAGGCAGACCCACCGCUGAUCUCCUGGUGAGCAAUGACUUUGCUAUUUUUCCCCGUAAAUUAAACCUAAUCUUGUGUUGACUCUGCUGAACAAGGAGAAUAAUGAAGAAGAUUAAGAUGAGAUGGUAUUCAUUCUCCUCCAACAAAAGCCAAUUAAUUGUCAGCAGGAUUAUUGGCCAGAGCCAGAGCCGCUAUCAGCUCUGCAGCCAGGAGGGCAGGGCUGGGGGCUGCUUCUGGGGCCCCAGAGAGGGUCUGGGGCCGAUGCAGCAGGAGAGGUUUCAGUGAGACGUGGGGAAGAAGGGCUCGGGUGGGGAGGGGCUUCAGCCCGGAAGGGGAGCAUGGAGGCCCAGGCAGGUGAUGUUUGUAAGUCACAGAGUGGCUCACACAGCCUGCCAGACGCCUGCACACAUCCCUGGCACAGGCUUCCUGAAGUCCUGGGCCACCUGGUCAUGUCCAUCCCAGACCUCCUGGGACCCUGCCCUGCCUUUUUGGGGUUACCUUUGAUAAAGCUGCACCCAGUGUCUCCAGCCUCCUCCUCACUCUGCUUCCCCUUUUCUCUUCCUCCCCCAGGCAUCAGGGAGGCCCCCUGUCCAGGCUCAAGAACACAGAUUAGCAAACCAGGUGUGGCGGUGCAGGCUUGGUGCUCUGGGAGGCUGAGGCAGGAGGACUGCAAACUGGAGCCCAGCCCGGGCAAUUUAGGGACUUGGUCUGCAGACAGGAAUCCUCGGGCCUCACUGGAUUUCGCCUGCAGAGAUGGAAGCAGAAACCCACACCUGCCUCUGAGUCCCCAGAUUCUCAGGUCAGGGAGGCUGCAGCUGUUCGGCUCUGGAGGCCGGUGAGAGGGAGUCACAAUGUUGAUCUCCUUGCUCCCCAUGAAGCUCUCCCAGGAGGCCUCACUUUGUCUUCUCAGUUUAUCCCAGAGGAGGCAGAGGCUCCCAGAGGCAGGCGUCUGAGGUCGCAGGGUGUCACCUUCUGAGCGGCCAGAAGUCCCCAAAGCUUUGCCCUUCCUGUCUCCAUGUUGUACAUGGAAGACUUCAGUACUUGGUCAUUGAAUGAAUGCAACCCUCGCCUGGUCCUAAAUCUGGCCCAGCAAGUCCCCCUCUCAGACGCCUCUGCUUCUCAGCAACUCCCAAACUUGAAUGGCUCGCGCGCGAUGCCUGCGAUUCUCCUUGGUAAUCCUUGCCAAUUCACCCUGUCUUACUGCUGUUCAGAAAACCACUCUGCCAGCCAGGUCUCGGCUUCAUUUACCUGAGCCCAUACCACUGGGUUAUUUUCUGAGCACCUGAGAAAUAUCUGAGUCCUCUGUCAUAGUCCAUGCUACGUCAUAGCUGUGCAUGGUGUGUUCAAAGCAUGGUUCCUGUGUGUGUUACACGUCCUCCGAGCUCCCUUUCAUACUGUUUCGUUCCCAUUUUCUAUUAAGACAGAUUUUUGCUGUAUGGUUCAGGCUGGUCUUACUCGAAGCAAUUCUCCUUCUUCAGCCUCCCGAGUGCUGGCAUUAUAGGUGUGCGCCAUCAAACCUGGCUUCCUUCCGGUUUUAGUGGCUGAGAUGACCCGGGAUCACACAGCCAGGGGUUUCCACAGUCAGGACCUGGUAGAGCUCUGUGACUCAGGGGUUUCUCCGGGGGCAGAUUCCAGCCCUGUGGGGAGGGAGCUUGGUGAGCUUCCAGUGGAGACAGUGGGGACUUCCGGGUCCCACAGACAUCUCAGACUCAGCCUCCGGGGCGGACCUGUGGUUCCUGUGAGAAUGCAUUUGGCAUUGAAGCCUUUACCAGCCACCUUCCUAAUGCAGGCACCUUGAGAACACACCAGUGACCACCACGGUCCCUGUCUGGGGAGUGGGCCACAUAUGCAAGGUGGAGACGGACCAGGGCUCCCAGCUCGAGCUCGCUGGCUUGGUAACCUAAGCCUUCCCUUCAGCAGCCACUGCCUCAGUUUCUUUAUCUGUAAAUCGGGAGAUCCUAGUACCAUCUCUUAGGUCAUGAUGAAGAUCAGAUGAAUUAAUAUCUGCGGGUGCUGGGAUCAGUGGCUGCACAGAAAAGGAGCCACAUGCAAGUGUGAAAUAAAUAAGAGUAAGUCCCGUAUAACUGUCAUGUGAUAGAGAAAGGAUGGAGAGGGGAAGCCCAUUGUGUGUUGGGAGCCCCAAGGAGGAGCCUUCAGCUUGGAGCCCAGGGCCUGGUCUGGGAGGAGGACAGGUGGCUUCUCUUGGCCCAAGGGACAGCGGAGGCUGGAGGGCUUUCUAGGCAACCCACACGGGCUCUC